rnacentral:lncRNA from 1 species
AAAAAUAAAAUCGAUCACACACAUAAGUCAUAAUAUGUAUUAAGAAGUUACUCAGGAUAUUAAGUGACUGAAUGGGACGUUAAUUCUUAAAACAAUAAGUCGGUUCGUUGCAAAGAUUGACGCGGAAUCUUUGUAGCGGCAACUUGAAUAGCAGGCUUAUUAACAGUGAAGUUUGUCCAUUCAUAACAGUGGAGUCUGCGUAUUUAACUCCUUCACAGAGAAACAAAAUGGAAAAAAAUUCAAUUGAGGUUAGAUUAUCUUGACACAGAAAUAAUAUUUUAUUUGAUAGCAAGUGCACACAAAGUAUCAAUUAGUUUAAAAAUAUUAUUUGAUACAAUUAAUUUAAUAGAACCAAGAAGAGUUAUUUGAUACCUUUUACCAUCCCCAUAGCUAUGCCUUCCAGACUAUUAUAUUUUCCAAGAUUAUUAGGCUCUAUGGUGAAAUGAUGAGUAGCACAGGAGUCAACAAUCCAUUGGUUGGGUACAACUUGCAUUCUUGAAAAAAUAUUUGCAUUUUGC